GGACUACCGGGGUAUCUAAUCCUGUUCGCUCCCCACGCUUUCGCUCCUCAGCGUCAGUAUCGGCCCAGUGUGCCGCCUUCGCUACGGGUGUUCCUCCUGAUCUCUGCGCAUUUCACCGCUCCACCAGGAAUUCCACACACCCCUACCGAACUCUAGUCAUGGCAGUAUCGAAUGACCCCUCCAGGUUGAGCCUGGAGAUUUCACACCCGACUUACCAAACCGCCUACGAGCUCUUUACGCCCAAUAAAUCCGGACAACGCUCGCCCCCUACGUAUUACCGCGGCUGCUGGCAC
rnacentral:rRNA from 1 species